GACGAACGCUGGCGGCGUGCUUAACACAUGCAAGUCGAACGAGUGGCGAACGGGUGAGUAAUACGUGAGUAACCUGCCCUCUUUUUGGGAUAAGCCUUGGAAACGGGGUCUAAUACCGGAUAAAGGGGGAUGGGCUCGGGGCCUAUCAGCUUGUUGGUGGGGUGAUGGCCUACCAAGGCGGUGACGGGUAGCCGGCCUGAGGGGGUGACGGGCGACAUUGGGGCAGGGUGACGGGCCAGACGUCUACGGGCGGCAGGCGUGGGGGAUAUUGCACAAUGGGCGAAAGGCAGAUGCCGCUACGCCGCGUGGGGGAUGGAGGCUUGCGGGUUGUAAAGCUCUUGCUCUAUCGCACGGGGAGGUGGAGAAGAAGCACCGGCUAACUACGUGCCAGCAGCCGCGGUAAUAC
rnacentral:rRNA from 1 species